GACCCCAGGUCAGGCGGGGUUACCC
rnacentral:rRNA from 1 species